rnacentral:rRNA from 1 species
CACGUAGGGUGCAAGCGUUGUCCGGAAUUAUUGGGCGUAAAGGGCUCGUAGGCGGUCCGUCACGUCGGGAGUGAAAACUCGGGGCUCAACCCCGAGCCUGCUUCCGAUACGGGCGGACUAGAGGUAGGUAGGGGAGAACGGAAUUCCUGGUGUAGCGGUGAAAUGCGCAGAUAUCAGGAGGAACACCGGUGGCGAAGGCGGGUCUCUGGGCCGUAACUGACGCUGAGGAGCGAAAGCGUGGGGAGCGAACAGG